UUUCCGUAGGUGAACCUGCGGAAGGAUCAUUAAAGAAUGCCCCGUUUUUCGAAAUGGGUUCUAUUCCCAAACCGUGUCUACAUACCUUUGUUGCUUUGGCGGGCCGCCUUCGGCGUUGGCCUCGGCUAACUGUGCCCGCCAGAGGACCCAAACUCGUUUUGUUUAGUGAUGUCUGAGUACUAUAAAAUAGUUAAAACUUUCAACAACGGAUCUCUUGGUUCUG
rnacentral:misc_RNA from 1 species